UGUUCUUUGGCUUAGUUGGUUAAAGCGCCGGACUAGCGCUACGGAGUCGUGGGUUCGGAUCCCGCAAAAAAAA
rfam:Aedes albopictus isolate Foshan contig32841, whole genome shotgun sequence.